ACUCCUUGCUUGCUGACUCCGCCUGGAACGGCUUUCCCCUCUCUCGCAUUUGCCGCCCUACCACCAUCCAGGAAUUACUUUCCACCUCCACUACUACCGCCGCCGCCGCCGCCGCUGCUCCGGUCUCGCAUCCUCCCACUUGAAUUCCUAAAUUUCAAAUUGAAAAUUAAUAGGGCUUGAUGUAAUUGUAGUGAUUCCACACUCCUCUGUUCAAAUGUGUGCAAAUUGCAAUUUAAAAUUGUAAAAAUCGAAAUUUUAAAAACCCCCGACGCUCACAUGUCUCGGGGAGGGAUUUAAUAAGUUAGUGCUAAAUUUGAAUAUUAAACUUACUAUAUCACUAAUAAGAAUGAAUUUAUUUAUCAAUAUUUAAAUAAUCAACCAUCCAUCAACAUUUAAAUAAUCAACCAUCCAUCAACAUCUACCAUGUUCUUUAGUUUUCAAAACUUACCUUCAAAUUUAGUUUUUUCCGGAUUUAAUAUUCGGUAGGCAACCAAAAGCAUCUCUCUCUCACUCAUUGACUCACUCGCUAGCUCGCGUUUUACCCACAAAAGCAAUGGCCACAGCAACUCAAGCGACCUUGAGUCUCUUUGCCGCUCCGCUGCCGGCCAAACCCCGCUCUCUC
rnacentral:lncRNA from 1 species